UAACACGUGGAUAACCUACCUAUAAGACUGGGAUAACUUCGGGAAACCGGAGCUAAUACCGGAUAAUAUUUUGAACCGCAUGGUUCAAAAGUGAAAGACGGUCUUGCUGUCACUUAUAGAUGGAUCAGCGCUGCAUUAGCUAGUUGGUAAGGUAACGGCUUACCAAGGCAACGAUGCAUAGCCGACCUGAGAGGGUGAUCGGCCACACUGGAACUGAGACACGGUCCAG
rnacentral:rRNA from 1 species